rnacentral:rRNA from 1 species
UACGGGGGGGGCAAGCGUUGUUCGGAGUUACUGGGCGUAAAGAGUGCGUAGGCGGUCCUGUAAGUUUGGUGUGAAAUCUCCCGGGCUCAACUGGGAGGGUGCGCCGAAGACUGCAGGGCUUGAGUAUGGGAGAGGUAAGCGGAAUUCCUGGUGUAGCGGUGAAAUGCGCAGAUAUCAGGAGGAACACCGGUGGCGAAGGCGGUUCUCUGGGCAUGAUCUGACGCUGAGGAGCGAAAGUGUGGGGAGCGAACAGG